rnacentral:rRNA from 1 species
AUUGAACGCUGGCGGCAGGCCUAACACAUGCAAGUCGCACGAGUGGCGGACGGGUGAGUAAUGCCUGGGAAACUGGCUGCUGGAGGGGGAUAACUACUGGAAACUGUAGCUAAUACCGCCUACCAUAGGAUGAGCCCAAGUGGGAUUAGGUAGUUGGUGGGGUAACGGCUCACCAAGCCGACGAUCCCGAGCUGGUCUGAGAGGCUGACCAGCCACACUGGGACUGAGACACGGCCCAGACGCCUACGGGAGGCAGCAGUGGGGAAUAUUGCACAAUGGGGGCAACCCUGACGCAGCCAUGCCGCGUGAAUGAAGAAGGCCUUCGGGUUGUAAAGUUCUUUCGGUAGCGAGGCGUUAACUACAGAAGAAGCACCGGCUAACUCCGUGCCAGCAGCCGCGGUAAUAC